GCUUCUGUAGCUUGGUUGGUUAGAGCGUUACACUGGAAUCGCAGGUUCGAUUCCUGCCAGGGACC
rnacentral:tRNA from 1 species